rnacentral:rRNA from 1 species
UACGUAGGGCGCAAGCGUUGUCCGGAAUUAUUGGGCGUAAAGAGCUCGUAGGUGGCGUGUCGCGUCUGCCGUGAAAGCCCAUGGCUUAACUGUGGGUCUGCGGUGGAUACGGGCAGGCUGGAGGCUGGUAGGGGCAAGCGGAAUUCCUGGUGUAGCGGUGAAAUGCGCAGAUAGUCAGGAGGAACACCGGUGGCGAAGGCGGCUUGCUGGGCCAGUUCUGACGCUGAGGAGCGAAAGCGUGGGGAGCGAACAGGA